rnacentral:pre_miRNA from 1 species
CUUGGCACUGGAAGAAUUCACAGAUUGUAUUUGAAUCGUGAUUCUUUUAAUGCCAUAUU